rnacentral:lncRNA from 1 species
CUUGACAUUUUACGUUUGACAAGCGUUUGCAAACGCUUGAAAUGUGAUUUAUUGUUUGUGUGAUUACACGCUAAUAUUAAAGUACCCUCUAAAUGAGUUCCAUGUACCCAUUUUUUUAAUCAGUAUGGAAAUGUCAGAAGAAGGGUAUUUUUCAAUGACAUGAAAAAGGGUAUAUAAGCCCCAUUUUAAAGUAUCAUCUCUCGUAAAAAUAAUGAGUAAUUAGUGCACAUGCUAGUUUGGUGCCAUCAUAACCUCCAUUGUUUGUGUUUUCCCUCGCUGCUAUCCGGUAUUAAUGAUAAGUUGAUUUUCAAUGUAAAAAUCUCCGAGUAAAUAGUUUAAUAUAUAUAAUAUUAGUACUGCCUCUAAAAUAUAACGUAAAAAACUAACCAUCGACACAUACAGACACACAUUUUAACAUCCCUUUGGAAGCGUGUAGUAACCCUAUAGAAUAUUCUUAUUGUCCGCUAUAGCGGACACGGACACGGACGGCUGUGUACCCGUGGAAUAAGUGGGUUGGGCCGGCUCCAAGGAGAAUGAUUUGGCGCAGACAAAGUAAACCAGCAUCUUCAAUAGCAUGGCCCAGUGUGUUUGUGAACUUCCAGGAAGAGAAACGUAUCGUAUAAUUUGUAUAUGAAUGAUAAAUAUAUUACAUUGUGUUAUAAGUUUUUAA